GUUUUGCAGCUAAUGAUGCUGGUGGAAUCCCUGUGCCAUCUCUCCAGGUACUCUCCAGGCUCCAGCCAUGCUCCUAAACACUUCCAGAGCUCAGGAAGGGGAAGUUGUCCUGGCUCAGUGUGUCCUUCAGAAGAUAAUACCUGCUGCCCGAAUUGUCUUCUGCAAGGAUGGAAUGGAGGUUUACAGCAUGAAAGCCCAACAGCAUACCGUCAUCUACUCCAUGCUGCUGAACAUCUCUGCAAGAAGCAGUGGGACAUACACGUGUGCGUACCAGCAGAGGAACAAGAGCAAUUGGCUAAGGAGAUCUCCCCUCAGCACUCCCUUGGAUCUACAUGUCACAGGUGGGACUUGACACCAGGGUUGUGCGGACGCAGGGGAUGGGGGGACUAAACAUCACAUAGAUUUUCUGGAUCAAGAAAUGCCAUAGAGAGAAGUGGGCUCUGGAAUGGUCUCCCUCUCCAUCCCGUGCUGCAGAAAUGGGGCACUGCAGUGCCCAGGCUCAGGAAGCAGGUGCAGGGUUUGGGCAAAAUCCCUUUCCUGGGAAGUGAUGCUGCAAGGGCUAUUCAAAA
rnacentral:lncRNA from 1 species